rnacentral:tmRNA from 1 species
AUACUUUAAUUUAUGAUAGAAUCACCCUAUAAUGNAAGUGCUGGUAUUCCAGNUAUGACGAUAAACNGCUUUUGAAAUAAACGAUGCGGACCCGGGGGCGGUACCCGGCGCCUCCACCAACAUCCANAANAAGUGUUUUUAUGGGGGCGAAAUAGGAUCGACGCGCGUGUAAAGANNAGUCUUUCGUNCGGCAUUGUACCGCCGUUAUCGGGCUAAUUUACAAAUGCCAAUGAUAAUGAUUUGGCCCUUGCUGCCUAAAUANAGGUAAGCGCGGUNCGGGGGGUACCGGGCAACAGGAUCCCCCCACU